GCCCUCAUGCUUGCUAUCAAGCAUGAAUCACCAGAAAUAGUCAGACUUCUUCUUCAGCAAGGUGUUGACAUCUUUUCUCAAGAUGUUUUUGGAUGGACCGCAGAAGAAUAUGCUGCUGAUAGUAGUUUUAAUAUCUUUCGCCAACUGAUUUCUGAAUAUAAAGAAAAGAGACCUGAAACUUCUCCUGAAAAGAGCAACCCAGCGGAUGAGAGUUCUGAAGAGGACUCUUCUAGGAGGUUUCCCAGCGAACCUGGCGUUGAUUUAGGGCCUCCAUCAAACAAUGAAGUCUUAGAUUUUAA